rnacentral:rRNA from 1 species
CGUAGGUGGCAAGCGUUGUCCGGAAUUAUUGGGCGUAAAGCGCGCGCAGGCGGUUCCUUAAGUCUGAUGUGAAAGCCCCCGGCUCAACCGGGGAAGGUCAUUGGAAACUGGGGAACUUGAGUGCAGAAGAGAAGAGCGGAAUUCCACGUGUAGCGGUGAAAUGCGUAGAGAUGUGGAGGAACACCAGUGGCGAAGGCGGCUCUUUGGUCUGUAACUGACACUGAGGCGCGAAAGCGUGGGGAGCAAACAGGAUUAGAUACCCUGGUAGUCCACGCCGUAAACGAUGAGUGCUAAGUGUUAGAGGGUUUCCGCCCUUUAGUGCUGCAGCUAACGCAUUAAGCACUCCGCCUGGGGAGUACGGCCGCAAGGCUG